CGAAAGCCUGACGGAGCAAUACCGCGUGAGGGAGGAAGGCUCUUGGGUUGUAAACCUCUUUUGUCAGGGAAGAAGAUCUGACGGUACCUGACGAAUCAGCAUCGGCUAACUCCGUGCCAGCAGCCGCGGUAAUACGGAGGAUGCAAGCGUUAUCCGGAUUUAUUGGGCGUAAAGCGUCCGCAGGUGGUUUUACAAGUCUGCUGUUAAAGCGUGGGGCUUAACUCCAUACAGGCAGUGGAAACUGUAAGACUAGAGUCUGGUAGGGGUCACGGGAAUUCCCAGUGUAGCGGUGAAAUGCGUAGAUAUUGGGAAGAACACCAGCGGCGAAAGCGCGUGACUGGACCGGAACUGACACUCAUGGACGAAAGCU
rnacentral:rRNA from 1 species